AUGGCAAAGUAUUGGUGGAGCAGCUCCAUCGAUCGGCGUUCCAUGCAUUGGAUAGACUGGAAGUCCUUGUCACUUCCAAAAAUCAGAGGAGGGAUAUGGUUUCGAGAUUUGGAAUGCUUCAACAUCGCGCUGUUGGGCAAGCAUGACUGGAGACUGAGCACGAACCUAGAUGCUUUAUGUUCUCGGGUCCUAAAAGGCUGCUACUUCCCAACGUCUGAUUUCAUGCAUGCUAAUGUGCCUCAAAACGCUUCGACGGCCUGGAAAGGCAUCAUAGCGGGGAGGAAGAUACUGGAAGCUGGGUUACUGAACAGAAUUCAUGAUGGCAUUGUGGUGAACAUCUGGACUGGUAGAUGGCUCCCUGGGAAGCUAUCAUUGCGUCCGUCGGCUCAGAUUGGCGGCGUCAUUCUCCACACAGUUUCAGACCUGAUUGACAAUGAAAAUUGGUCCUGCAAAGGUGCUUUAGUAAGGAAUAAUUUCACGCCGCCGGAUGCUGAUGCAAUCUUAAAUAUGUCUUUGAUACAAGGAGGUGGUGAUGACUUCUGGGUGUGGGCUCACGAGAGGUCGGGAUCCUAUAUUGUAAAAUAUGUGUAUCGUGCUUUCAUGACUCGCAACGAGCAACUAGCUCUAGAGGAAGAGACCAUAAAUUAA
rnacentral:rRNA from 1 species